rnacentral:rRNA from 1 species
CACGGGGGGCCUACGGGAGGCAGCAGUAGGGAAUAUUGGGCAAUGGAGGCAACUCUGACCCAGCCAUGCCGCGUGCAGGAAGACGGUCCUCUGGAUUGUAAACUGCUUUUGAAUGGGAAGAAUGUGCUCCUUGCGAGGGGUAAUGACGGUACCAUUAGAAUAAGCCACGGCUAACUACGUGCCAGCAGCCGCGGUAAUACGUAGGUGGCGAGCGUUNUCCGGAUUUAUUGGGUUUAAAGGGUGCGUAGGCGGCUUAGUAAGUCGGUGGUUAAAGGUAGUCGCUUAACGAUUUUACAUGCCACCGAUACUGUUGAGCUUGAGUUAUUUGGAGGCAGCUAGAAUUUCCGGUGUAGCGGUGAAAUGCAUAGAUACCGGAAGGAAUACCAAUUGCGAAGGCAGGUUGCUACAAAUAUACUGACGCUGAUGCACGAAAGCGUGGGGAUCAAACAGGAUUAGAUACCCCUGGUAGUCCACGCCGUAAAACGAUGAUUACUAGUUGUUGGGUUUUCGGACUUCAGUGAUCCAAGGGAAACCGCGAUAAGUAUCCCGCCGGA